rnacentral:misc_RNA from 1 species
GAGGGAAACAACCCAGAUCAACAGCUAAGGUCCCUAAGUAAUACUCAGUCACUAAGGAAGUGAAGUUGCAGUGACAGCCAGGAUGUUGGCUUAGAAGCAGCCACCAUUUAAAAAGUGCGUAACAGCUUACUGGUCGAGCAAUUUCGCGCCAAUAAUGAACGGGAGUAAGUAUUACACCGAAGCUUUGGACUCGAAAGAGUGGUAGGAGAGCGCUGUACACGAGAUACAAGCCGUACGGUAACGAGCGGUCGCGGCGUGUACAGGUGAUUAUGCCGGAAUGAGUAACGAUAAAACAGGUGAGAAUCCUGUUCGCCGAAAGCCUAAGGUUU